rnacentral:rRNA from 1 species
AGAACGAACGCUGGCGGCAGGCCUAACACAUGCAAGUCGAACGCUCGUAGCAAUACGAGAGUGGCAGACGGGUGAGUAACGCGUGGGAACCUUCCCAGUGGUACGGAAUAGCUCAGGGAAACUUGAGGUAAUACCGUAUACGCCCCUCGGGGGAAAGAUUUAUCGCCAUUGGAUGGGCCCGCGUAGGAUUAGCUAGUUGGUGAGGUAACGGCUCACCAAGGCGACGAUCCUUAGCUGGUCUGAGAGGAUGAUCAGCCACACUGGGACUGAGACACGGCCCAGACUCCUACGGGAGGCAGCAGUGGGAAUAUUGGACAAUGGGCGCAAGCCUGAUCCAGCCAUGCCGCGUGAGUGACGAAGGCCUUAGGGUUGUAAAGCUCUUUUGGCGGGGAAGAUAAUGACGGUACCGCAGAAUAAGCUCCGGCUAACUUCGUGCCAGCAGCCGC